rnacentral:rRNA from 1 species
GAGGUUAAGCGACUAAGCGUACACGGUGGAUGCCCUGGCAGUCAGAGGCGAUGAAGGACGUGCUAAUCUGCGAUAAGCGCCGGUAAGGUGAUAUGAACCGUUAUAACCGGCGAUUUCCGAAUGGGGAAACCCAGUGUGACUCGUCACACUAUCAUUAACUGAAUCCAUAGGUUAAUGAGGCGAACCGGGGGAACUGAAACAUCUAAGUACCCCGAGGAAAAGAAAUCAACCGAGAUUCCCCCAGUAGCGGCGAGCGAACGGGGAGGAGCCCAGAGCCUGAAUCAGCAUGUGUGUUAGUGGAAGCGUCUGGAAAGGCGCGCGAUACAGGGUGACAGCCCCGUACACAAAAGCGCAUGUGCUGUGAGCUCGAUGAGUAGGGCGGGACACGUGGUAUC